rnacentral:rRNA from 1 species
UACGAGAGGCCCAAACGUUAUUCGGAUUUACUGGGCUUAAAGAGUUCGUAGGCGGCUUGGAAAGUGGGGUGUGAAAGCCCUCGGCUCAACCGAGGAAUUGCGCUCCAAACUACCGAGCUUGAGGAAGCUAGAGGUGAGCAGAACUGAUGGUGGAGCGGUGAAAUGCGUUGAGAUCAUCAGGAAUACCGGAGGCGAAGGCGGCUCACUGGGACUUUUCUGACGCUGAGGAACGAAAGCUAGGGGAGCAAACGGG